UACGGAGAGUGCAAGCGUUAUCCGGAUUUACUGGGUUUAAAGGGUGCGUAGGCGGAUAGGUAAGUCAGAGGUGAAAGCCUGGAGCUUAACUCCAGAACUGCCUUUGAUACUAUCUAUCUUGAAUAUUGUGGAGGUUUGCGGAAUAUGUCAUGUAGCGGUGAAAUGCUUAGAUAUGACAUAGAACACCUAUUGCGAAGGCAGCAGGCUACACAUAUAUUGACGCUGAGGCACGAAAGCGUGGGGAUCAAAC
rnacentral:rRNA from 1 species